CGAUGGGGGGACGCAGUAGGAUAGGCGAAGCGUGCGAUUGGAUUGCACGUCUAAGCAGUAAGGCUGAGUAUUAGGCAAAUCCGGUACUCGUUAAGGCUGAGCUGUGAUGGGGAGAAGACAUUGUGUCUUCGAGUCGUUGAUUUCACACUGCCGAGAAAAGCCUCUAGAUAGAAAAUAGGUGCCCGUACCGCAAACCGACACAGGUAGUCAAGAUGAGAAUUCUAAGGUGAGCGAGCGAACUCUCGUUAAGGAACUCGGCAAAAUGACCCCGUAACUUCGGGAGAAGGGGUGCUCUUUAGGGUUAACGCCCAGAAGAGCCGCAGUGAAUAGGCCCAAGCGACUGUUUAUCAAAAACACAGGUCUCUGCUAAACCGUAAGGUGAUGUAUAGGGGCUGACGCCUGCCCGGUGCUGGAAGGUUAAGAGGAGUGGUUAGCUUCUGCGAAGCUACGAAUCGAAGCCCCAGUAAACGGCGGCCGUAACUAUAACGGUCCUAAGGUAGCGAAAUUCCUUGUCGGGUAAGUUCCGACCCGCACGAAAGGCGUAACGAUUUGGGCACUGUCUCAACGAGAGACUCGGUGAAAUCAUAGUACCUGUGAAGAUGCAGGUUACCCGCGACAGGACGGAAAGACCCCGUGGAGCUUUACUGUAGCCUGAUAUUGAAAUUCGGCACAGCUUGUACAGGAUAGGUAGGAGCCUUUGAAACGUGAGCGCUAGCUUACGUGGAGGCGCUGGUGGGAUACUACCCUAGCUGUGUUGGCUUUCUAACCCGCACCACUUAUCGUGGUGGGAGACAGUGUCAGGCGGGCAGUUUGACUGGGGCGGUCGCCUCCUAAAAGGUAACGGAGGCGCUCAAAGGUUCCCUCAGAAUGGUUGGAAAUCAUUCAUAGAGUGUAAAGGCAUAAGGGAGCUUGACUGCGAGACCUACAAGUCGAGCAGGGUCGAAAGACGGACUUAGUGAUCCGGUGGUUCCGCAUGGAAGGGCCAUCGCUCAACGGAUAAAAGCUACCCCGGGGAUAACAGGCUUAUCUCCCCCAAGAGUUCACAUCGACGGGGAGGUUUGGCACCUCGAUGUCGGCUCAUCGCAUCCUGGGGCUGUAGUCGGUCCCAAGGGUUGGGCUGUUCGCCCAUUAAAGCGGUACGCGAGCUGGGUUCAGAACGUCGUGAGACAGUUCGGUCCCUAUCCGUCGUGGGCGUAGGAAAUUUGAGAGGAGCUGUCCUUAGUACGAGAGGACCGGGAUGGACAUACCUCUGGUGUACCAGUUGUCGUGCCAACGGCAUAGCUGGGUAGCUAUGUGUGGACGGGAUAAGUGCUGAAAGCAUCUAAGCAUGAAGCCCCCCUCAAGAUGAGAUUUCCCAACUUCGGUUAUAAGAUCCCUCAAAGAUGAUGAGGUUAAUAGGUUCGAGGUGGAAGCAUGGUGACAUGUGGAGCUGACGAAUACUAAUCGAUCGAAGACUUAAUCAA
rnacentral:rRNA from 1 species